rnacentral:rRNA from 1 species
GUGCAGCAGGCGCGAAAACUCCGCAAUGCGCGAAAGCGUGACGGGGUCACCCCGAGUGCCGUCCGCUGAGGAUGGCUUUUGCCUGGUCUAACCAGCCGGGUGAAUAAGGGGAGGGCAAGUCUGGUGUCAGCCGCCGCGGUAAUACCAGCUCCCCGAGUGGUUGGGACGAUUAUUGGGUCUGAAGCGUCCGUAGCCGGCCGGAAAAGUUCCCCGUUAAAUCUGGCGAUCCAAUCGUUGGGCUGCGGGGAAUACUCUUCGGCUUGGGGGCGAGGGAGGUCGGCGGUAGUCCCGGGGUAGGGGUAAAAUCCGCUGAUCCACGGAAGACCACCAGUGGCGAAGGCGGUCCGCCAGGACGCGUCUGACGGUGAGGGAUGAAAGCUGGGGGAGCGAACCGGAUUAGAUACCCCGGUAGUCC